UCCCCGAUAGCUCAGUUGGUAGAGCAAAUGACUGUUAAUCAUUGGGUCCCAGGUUCGAGUCCUGGUCGGGGAGCCA
rnacentral:tRNA from 2 species